AUUGAACGCUGGCGGCAGGCUUAACACAUGCAAGUCGAGCGGGGUGAUGGUGCUUGCACUAUCACUUAGCGGCGGACGGGUGAGUAAUGCUUAGGAAUCUGCCUAUUAGUGGGGGACAACAUUUCGAAAGGAAUGCUAAUACCGCAUACGUCCUACGGGAGAAAGCAGGGGAUCUUCGGACCUUGCGCUAAUAGAUGAGCCUAAGUCGGAUUAGCUAGUUGGUGGGGUAAAGGCCUACCAAGGCGACGAUCUGUAGCGGGUCUGAGAGGAUGGUCGGCCAGACUGGGACUGAGACACGGCCCAGACUCCUCCGGGAGGUAGCAGUGGGGAAUAUUGGACAAUGGGCGGAGGCCUGAUCCAGCCAUGCCGCGUGUGUGAAGAAGGCCUUAUGGUUGUAAAGCACUUUAAGCGAGGAGGAGGCUACUUUAGUUAAUACCUAGAGAUAGUGGACGUUACUCGCAGAAUAAGCACCGGCUAACUCUGUGCCAGCAGCCGCGGUAACAC
rnacentral:rRNA from 1 species